rnacentral:rRNA from 1 species
GAUGAACGCUAGCGGCAGGCCUAACACAUGCAAGUCGAGGGGUAGCAGGAUUAAGCUUGCUUAAUUGCUGACGACCGGCGCACGGGUGCGUAACGCGUAUGCAACCUACCUUAUACUGGGGUAUAGCCCGGAGAAAUUCGGAUUAAUCCCCCAUAGUACUAAUGAAUCGCAUGGUUUAUUAGUUAAAGCAUUGCGGUAUAAGAUGGGCAUGCGUCCUAUUAGCUAGAUGGUGAGGUAACGGCUCACCAUGGCUACGAUAGGUAGGGGGCCUGAGAGGGUGGUCCCCCACACUGGUACUGAGACACGGACCAGAAUCCUACGGGAGGCGGCAGUGAGGAAUAUUGGUCAAUGGGCGCAAGACUGAACCAGCCAUGCCGCGUGCAGGAAGAAUGCCCUAUGGGUUGUAAACUGCUUUUAUUUGGGAAUAAACCUCUUUACGUGUAGAGAGCUGAAGGUACCAAAUGAAUAAGCACCGGCUAACUCCGUGCCAGCCGCCGCGGUAA